GGCUGACACGUGCUCUGUGGAGAAUCAUUAGAGUCUCUUUAGAGAACCGGGUUUACUCUGUGUUUAAUCAGCCCCAGGCAGAAGAAAUGGCUUCAUUUCAGCUGACGAGAGCCAGAUCACAAAAGCAAGAUAGAUGGCCAAUAGGGCUCAUCACUAAGACAGAUCUGCCUGACCUGGGUUUUAUGACAGAUGUCAAAUACAUCGAAGUGUGUUGUGAAGCAGAUCACCCUAUUGGCAAAGAAAUGAAAGACCACCAGGAAGAUGGAUGGGAAGUGUUCCUCGAGGGAUUUCUUGUCUCUUCGUGCAGGUCUGCCAGUGAACCCGAAGAAGGGGCUGGAGGGCAGGGUUCCAUGAAUCUCAUGGAGGAAAGUGCUUCAUUAGGGUGGAGGAAGCUGCAUUAAGAACACGAAUGAUUUUGGUUUCAGAAAAGUAACUUUUGAGCACCUGAAGGAAGACUGCAAUGGUGACAGAUGAGACCAAAGGCAACCUAUAACAAGGCUGUUAAAGUCUUCUGGGGAAGAGAAAGCAAGAGUUAGAAUUAAACCAGUGGAGAUGGGAAGAAGGGAUGGACCUGAGAGAGAGCUGUGAGCAGUAGAAUGGAUACUUUGCCACCCUAAGGAAGUUGAAUGUCUAAAAAAGAUUUAAAAGGGACUCUUAAGUUUCUAGUUGGGAAACUUGGACAGUGAAGAGAAAUGUUGGGUAGAUGAGAAAUUGAAUUUAAUUUGGGAUGUGUUAUAGUUGAGCUGUCUGUAAGACAUACAGUCAGAGCUGGUCAAUUCCCAUUCAUUCAACAAUUGAAGAUUCUAAUCUACAGCUCAGGGUGUACAUGAACAUGAUUUUAUUUUUCUAUGAUGUUUCAGGUGACACUUUAUUAUCUUGCCAUGUCUCAGGGGUCAUCAUAAUGAAUAUCAAGUGUUGCUUGACCAUAAUGUAUAAAAGCACAGAUUGCAGAGAGCUGUGUUUAAUAGAAAAUAAAUACAAAUGAUUUAUUAAUUUUAUUCAUUGAGCUUUUGAUAUGUGCCUACCAUAGCAAUGGUACAUGAGGAAAAGAGAAACACACACAAACAAACAUAAAACAAUAAAAAGGCAAAAUCCUUGUUCUAUUUAUUUAUUGUCUUAAGCUUACAGAAGAUAUUUGCAAAUGGGCAGAAUACCUGUGUUAUGAUUCCAAUUCCAAUCUUUUCCUUGCUUAUGUGGCUUAAGGCAAAUGACAGAACUUUUUAAACCUUUGGUUUCUCAUGAGAAAAUAUUGUUUGUAGAAUAUUAUUUAUAGAUCAUUGGCAUCUUUGUUACUAGGGAGUUGUGAGGAUUAGCUAGGUUUAAAACAAAAAAAUACUGUAUUUUGAAAGCAAUAAAUUUCUUUGGGAAAUAAUGAA